rnacentral:misc_RNA from 1 species
CCCAUUUUAUUUCAUAUAAUGUUUUUUUUAGUUACGUUUUCUCCACGUGGUGUAACUCAUUCGUUAUUUGCGUUUUGUGAAAUAAAUAAUUUGGAACGAUAUUUGGUCGAAUUUGCAUUGAAAUUCGAGGCGCAAGUGCGAUAAGGGGCAGCCUUUAUAUGAAUAGAUUGCGCAAGAGUUGAC